rnacentral:rRNA from 1 species
UACGUAGGGUGCAAGCGUUAAUCGGAAUUACUGGGCGUAAAGCGUGCGCAGGCGGUUGUGCAAGACAGAUGUGAAAUCCCCGGGCUCAACCUGGGAAUUGCAUUUGUGACUGCACGGCUAGAGUGUGUCAGAGGGGGGUAGAAUUCCACGUGUAGCAGUGAAAUGCGUAGAGAUGUGGAGGAAUACCGAUGGCGAAGGCAGUGUCCUGGGGAGUACCUGACGCUCAGGUGCGAAAGCCAGGGGAGCGAACGGG